CUGCACUACUAAUCGACCUCCGCGAUGCUUCCAGACGAAGCCGAAAGUGCCGUAAAGAAGGAAAAACUAUGCAUCUUCCUCCCAGGCUCUAGCUACGACCCAUUCUCCUCUUCCACGGAUCCUUCCAUCCUCCGUCCAAUCUGCUCCUCCGUUCUAUGACUUUCCCAAGGCCAGAACCGGUGACAAUGCCGUGAGCCGCCCCUUCUCAGGAACGAGCUGGACGCCACCCCACCGCUCAAGAAGGCCAUUACAAGGAUGGCCACAGCGCUGUGGCACAGGACGAGGGAGGUUGCCGCUCUGUUGGACAAAAUUCGGACACCGAAGAAGCCCAUAGAGGAGCCAGCAACGGACGUGAAGCUAAUCCCAACGCCAGAGAAGCCAGAGGAGACGCUGAAGCGCACGGCCGUAGCCGGCGGCGUAGGCUGAGGCAGCGACGGAUGACCUCGUAUCCGUUGAAGGAGAGCUCAACAUUGGCACCGAGGCUGGGCGGAACCCCGUCAAGCGCAAGUCGGAGGUCAAGCUGCUAGAGAGGUAAAGAUCCAUGUCCCCCGAUGUGAUUUCGGAUUUUGUUUCACGGUUCGAAAUCGAGCUGCUUUCCACCGCAUCGCUGCCGCUCGCUCCACCGCCUCUGCCACCUCCUCAUGCUUUGGCGUCGCGUCCCCUUCGGCUCCAGUUGCUCCUUUUGUGUCCAUUGGCUUCAGAAGAAUCAUGUUUGCAUCUAUGCCUCACCUUCAGUCGUUGGCCUGGUGGGCUAAUAUGCUAGCAUCAACUUUCACCCUUCGGAUUCUCAAGUCAUUGUUGCUGGUUCCUCCUCAGUGCAGAUUGAUGAGGUGGAGGAGAAUUCUGAAUAUCCCUGCUUGAUCUUGGCACUUCCUACUCCGAGGACUUCGGAUGAUCUGCUAUCUGAUGUUGCCCCUGUUGAUUGCCCACCCCCGGACAUUUUUGGAUGGAGCCACCAAGACCAGAUAAAGAAGUGGCAGGUGAUCCAAAAGGUUUACCAGAGAAGAUUGGGGUAUCGGGCUAAGAAAAAUCGAAAGAAGAGCAGUCGUCCUGUUAAGAACGAGUAUACCAGAAAACUGCAAACCAUCCAACCAAGAAGAAGUGAGAGGAUCAAGGCCCGUAUGCUGGGCUUCAAAGUCUCCUUUGACACUAGGGCCACCAUAUGCCCCCCAUGCUUGAUGAUGUGUCCGGUCUCAACUUCCCAUGCCCUGUUAAAUUUCCUUCUAUCCAAGAUAUUACAGACUUUAUUGGUAUCUAUCCAGAGAUUCAUGCUUCCACCUUGCAGAAGGUGGUUGUUGACCGUUGCGGCAUGCUACCUGAGGAGGCAUCGCUGAGGGCGCUGCUUCAUUACCCCUCCUUGGGUAAUGCUGAAGGCAACGCUGGUGACAGGAUUCUGCAUGUUCUCCAUGACUAAUGGACCAGAAGCGUGAUGAUGUUAACAAAAUACUCUUGUUUAUUUUGGUUGCUGGGGGAAACAGUUAUGUCGUUGAACCUUAUGAUUAUGCACUGUUGGCGUUUAUUUUACUACUUAGAUAUUGAUCUGUGCCGGCAUAUUGAUUUGUGCUUUAUCUGGUUUUUUCUUUACCGUCUUCGGAUUUCUUACGGCGAGCGCCACGUGAAUGUGUCAUUCAUGUGUGGGAUGGUUUAUGCUAUCAAAGUUUGGUGUGAAUGGAUCACAACUCAAGAAGCUGGAAUGUGUUGAAUUGGAAUAUCAGGGGGUUGAACGAAGAUUCUAAAUGUCUCGCGGUGAGACAAAAUUGAUGAGAGCUGCUGUUCAAUUUUUUUCCAUCCAAGAAACUAAAUUGGAAAGUAUUACCCCUAUCCUUUUGAAAAAAAUGCUCCCAAGCGAUUCAAUAAAACCAAACUAGCAAUGGUCAAAACUUGCUCUUACGAUUCUGAUUAAAGUUCUUUCUGUGUCUUCAUAUAAUGCUUCAUUUGUGAAAAAAGAUACAAAUACUAAUCAGUCCACACAUGAAAAUAUAUAUAACAUCUCACUAUUUUUCCUGAGACGAUAGAUUAUUCUGCCAAGGUAGUAGCUUUGGGUCGUUGCUUUGAACCAGAUUUAGCUUUGGCUGCAAGUGAAUAUUUUACCAGGUGGUCAGAUAAACUGGAUUGCAGUGGUCUCUAUUACGCUUCAUGUACAACCACUAAGGUAGCCGCCUUUGAUUUUCUUUCUUUUAACUACUGCAUGAAUAUGAUGUACUUAGCCUUGUUGUAUUUGGCAUGACAACCGACAACCUCUCCAUUUCACCUGGUUAGGCUAGAUUUGUAGGGCCAUAAGCUGCUAUGAUAGGAACAUGAGAACUCUGUACUUGCGGUUUGAUCUUCUCUGUGGAAUUCUGAACUAUUUGAGGACAUAAUAGUGUGGAUCUCUCUUUGGGUGUUGAAGUCCUUGUUAAUGCUGUUAAUACCAAAUGAAUCAGAUAACGAUGGACAUACAACACUGCAUAUAGCUGCUUCUAGAGGGGACAAACAAUGUGUCAAGCUUCUUCUAGACUAUGGAGCUAAUCCAAAUGCUACAGGUACACAUAAAACUAGAAUUGUGAUACAUUCUUGCCACCAAGAAUAAUAUUGAAAUACAAAUUUGACGCAAUAUUAAAUUGGGCACUAUUCAACCUGUAGCGGCCACAUAUAUUUUAGUUUGUUUCGGACAGGAUUUUUUUAGAAUACUUGAUUGGACUGAAACUCAUCGUCGUGUCCUAGAUUUUUGAAUGUUAAAUGUUGCAGGCAUCUUAUCAUGACCUGCACACAGAUCACAUACAGACUUCCCACAAAGAAGUAGCGCAAAAGAAAUAAGUUGAACAAACCUUAUGUUCUCCUCUGAUGGAUAUUGCAUCAUAGCAAGGCCCAGGUGUAAAUGUCUCCCUUCCAGUAAGUGCUCCUUCCGAGAUUACUCAGUUAACAGUUUAGCUCCACUUUAGAUUCUAAAUCUAACUAAUCACAGAUAUGGCGAACCGUUUCAGCUCCAUAAAUUAAGUUAGAAGAGGGAAGGUCUAUUUAAAUUCUAUUGGUUUAGUGACUUAUUAUGAGCCUACAGACACCGGAAAACUUAACAACUUUGUCUAACAAAUCAACAACACAGUCGUAGUGCUUCUUUUCAGGCUCUAACCCGUAACUUUUGUUUGUUGCAUUGAGGGAUCUCAGUUGGAGCUCAAUUUCCCCACGUGUCAGUAAGAAGUGAGUACAUAAAUGAAUGCAACAUUAGUCUAGCUUUAGCCAGACACUACACGGAUCCUCAAACUGAACAAACACUACUCAGUGUUAUGGUCUGAAGAACCUAUAAAUUCAACAACCACAGGCAGGUAAGAAAAAUGAUGUCCAUUUUGACAUGUGUUGGCAUGCUUAGAAUGUAAGGCCUUGCGACUGAAAUCAUAUGGUUUUUCCUAUUAA